rnacentral:rRNA from 1 species
UACGUAGGGUGCAAGCGUUGUCCGGAAUUAUUGGGCGUAAAGAGCUCGUAGGCGGCUUGUCACGUCGGGUGUGAAAGCCCGGGGCUUAACCCCGGGUCUGCAUUCGAUACGGGCAGGCUAGAGUGUGGUAGGGGAGAUCGGAAUUCCUGGUGUAGCGGUGAAAUGCGCAGAUAUCAGGAGGAACACCGGUGGCGAAGGCGGGUCUCUGGGCAACAACUGACGCUGAGGAGCGAAGGCCAGGGGAGCAAACGGG